UCAUGAUUCUGCCCCACCUUCACCUGCCUGAUUGCUCAUUCUGAACACCUGCGCGCUCCUCUAUUUAAGACUCUUCCCCUCCAGACUCAGUACUGGAUUGUUGUCUACUCCCUGAAGUUCUCUGUAUGCACGCCUUGCUGUUUUGUCUCGUCCUCGACCCUGCUCACGCUCUGGAUUCCUGCUCCUGCCUUCACCCUUCGGUACCUCCGUCUUGGACCCACUCUGAUCUCCGUGUUGCUGACCCUCGCUUCGUCCACGUCUUGCCGCCCUUUGCCUUCUCCUCUGGAUAUUUCUGCCGCCCUGAAGAACCCUUGGACUCCCCCUACUGCUUGGAGGACCUUACUGCAGACAUAAUAAACUGCUUUACUUAACUAAA